rnacentral:lncRNA from 1 species
GGUCUGAGCACAGAAUUUGUUUGAUAUACGUAGUGUUUUAUAGAUUUCUAGGUAGAGGGGGACGCAAGAAUCACUUCAAGUGCAUUUUUUAGUUAUAUAUUAUGGAAUAAAUAGGAACGAAUGAAGCUUCCACCGUUGGUACAACAAACAAUGGUGUUGUCCGUUUUUGUACAUGUAUUUAGCAAUGGAGGUGGUACUCAUUGAGGCGGGAGAUUAUGCGUCCGAGCAGAGUGAUUCAUUGUAUUGUUCCUAUUCAAAAAAUGAUUGAUUCUGAUGGAUUUAAUAUUCAAACCAUAAAAACCUUGCGUUAAGGAACAAAUCCAUUUUCAGAAUGUGGAAUUGAAUCAAUUCCUCAUCCUUGGGGCGACGUUCUUAGUAUUUAAUCGUAUCGGAACGUGGGAUUUUAAGACAUUUUCUACAUAGAAGCAUCAUGGAAUAUCUUAGAUGGAACUUUGGGACUACAAAGUUACAAUGAAUUGUAAGAUCAUUUAGAUCCUUAUUAAAAUGUUUGUUGUAUCUUACAAUUAGUAGAUAUUUUGGACUGAAAAUUAAUGAAUCAAUUUAUAUAUCAUUAACAACUGAUUUAAAGGGGCAUUAUGUGACGAUAAUGAUUUAAUUAAUGUUUUUGAAGAAUGCGUAAAAAGGGACGACUAAAAAACCACAUGUGCAUGAAUAAGGAUCAAGCAUGUCGAAGAAUCCAAAUAUAAUGAAUAAAAAAGAAAAUUCCUAAUUUUUUAUACAUUUUCCUUUUCUAAUCAUAUCAGGGAUCAAUCGUUAAUGAAAACUUAUUAGUUAUAAGUUAUAACUUAUAUAUUCAAAACUCAUCAAAUAAUAUGUUAAAUAGUAACAACAACAACUUUUUUCUUCCUUCUUUCUUUAUUACUCUGGGCGCGCCCGCCAAAAAGAGAGAACGAGCUCCUAGAUACCAAGAAAGAGACAAAAACAAAUAAAUUAUGUAAGGAUUGUGCUGCCCUCUAAAGCCAUUAAUAAAUAAUACACACACCAAUAGAAUAGCAGCUCAACUACUAUAAUAAUAGAGAUUCUACUCACAAAGAGGCAGUGAGAGUAAAAAAAAGAGGAGUGUAAUAAUAAGUAGUAAUCAUAGUAACUAUGUCAAGUACAGGCAGUAGUAUAAUAAACAUAUAGUAGAAAUCAAUUAGCAGAUGUGUGACGUCAUCGAUUAUGUAGGUUAUCAAUUUUUUUCUUUUAUUACUUUUAGUAUUAGUAUAUUUAUCAAGGUCAAUUUUACACAUUGGCCCCUACCAGAAAAUAAGUCGAUAUAAUUAUACUAUAAGGAAAAAUAUCAUGGACUUCUCUUUGAGGGGACUCACUUUAAGGUUUGUAGAUUUUAAUAUAAAUACUUAACACGUGUUUUUACGUCAUAGUUUGAGAUUUUGUGUGUGUGUGGUUUU